GCACACCAGGGGGCUCUGAGGAGGAGCUGACCGCUGAGCUGAGACCCACUACCUUUGCCAAGUGUAGCAGGUGUGGGUCAGGCUCCAGGCAGGAGGAGGAGCACCUGAAAGGCCCUGAGCCACUGAGGAGCAGGAAGGAGCCAGCAUGCCAAGCGUGCAGAAGGCCCAGAAAUGAAGGUCGGGGGUGUGGACUCCUGAGGUCAUGGUUGGCUGUGGAUGGUACUAGAAGUGCCCGGGACUCACUGAACUGAAGCAUGAGGUUGCUGUGAUCUGAUUCGGGGUCUAGGCGGCUGCCCUGGCUGCGAUACCUGUGUAUACCUGUGGAGCUGAAACCAUUCACCACGAGCCUGGAAUGCCUGGCGUGUGCCUCAUCUAGGGAUGCCUGCAUCUCAGGACCCACAGAAACAUUACCAGUGGUGAAGCAGGAGUGACACCACACUGCGGUACCGCCUUGCCUAGCCUGGAUCUCACAGCCCAAGGGGACCAGCGUCACAGGUGGCCUGCAGCUGAGGCCUGAAUGAGCUCCAGACGUCUACAUGCCCAGCAUACCACUAGAGAUUCCCAUGUUCUCUUUCACUCUAUCAAAUUACAUCUGAAUUUCAUUCCUGGCCCUUUGAGUUCCUUCAGAGGCAAAAUAGAAAGCGGUUCCUUGAGGCAAACUUUUGUCUUUUGCUGGGGAAAGUACAGUUUCCCCUUUGCUCCAAAGAAGAUUAGGAUAUUAAGGACAGAAUGUCAGCUGAAGAUUACAUGAAAAGGAUAAUUAAACAAAAGCCCCAUAUUAUAAGCCAUCUAAAAGGGAAAUUAAGCAGCUCUGGCAUUCUCCUCAUCUUUGAAGGAUAUUCUGGAAAGGGAACCAGGAAUUGUUUGGCUUGAUAAAUAAAGAUAGUAACCAAA